GGGUCGAUGGCGUAGCUGGUUAUCGCAUCUGUCUAACAUCCUUGUUGUACACAGAAGGUCCUCAGUUCGAACCUGGGUCGACUCA